CCGCAGUACCCUGACUGUGCAAAGGUAGCAUAAUCAGUUGGCUUUUAAUUAGAGUCUGGUAUGAAUGAAAAUAUGGGUGGUAGCUGUCUUUAGUAUAUUAGUUUGAAAUUAUUAAGCAAGUGCAAAUGCUUGCAAGUUUCAAAAAGACGAGAAGACCCUAGAA
rnacentral:rRNA from 1 species